rnacentral:misc_RNA from 2 species
ACGUAUCUCUGGCGGCGAGGGUGCGCCCUGCUCCGGUCCCAGCGGCCGUGCAGCGGGUGAGCCCGAGCCGUUCAACCUUUGCAAACCCACUGUGCACCUUUGUCGGCGGAGGGCCCAGCGCCCCGAGCCGGAUCACAAACCCCAAAGUUCAAAGAAUGACAAGCGGACAUUGUGCCGCCCAAACUAUAA